rnacentral:rRNA from 1 species
CACGUAGGGGGCGAGCGUUGUCCGGAUUUAUUGGGCGUAAAGAGCUCGUAGGCGGUUCGGUAAGUCGGGUGUGAAACCUCCAGGCUCAACCUGGAGUCGCCACUCGAUACUGCUGUGACUAGAGUCCGGUAGGGGAGCGUGGAGUUCCUGGUGUAGCGGUGAAAUGCGCAGAUAUCAGGAGGAACACCAGCGGCGAAGGCGG